CGCAGGCAAUUCUGCCAUGUAUUGAAGAAUCCAUACACCAUUAAGAGACAGCCUCCGUAUCAAUUUGUUCAAAGACCACUUUUCCCACUACUGCAGCCUUUUGUAACCCAGGGAGAUACAUGUUUAUUCAAACACAAGAUACCCCAAAUCCUAACAGUUUAAAGUCUAUACCAGAAAAACCAGUUUUUGAGACAAGGACCAUGGAUUUCCCCACCACAUCUGCAGCAUUUCGCUCCCCUCUGGCUAGGCAGUUAUUUAGGACUGAAGGAAUACAAAAUGUCUUCUUUGGACCAGAUUUCAUCUCUGUCACAAAGGAAAAUGAAGAAUAAGACCGGAAUUCACCAAAACCAGAUAUUUACUCAACAAUCAUGGACUUCUUUGCAUCUGGUUUACCACAGUUGCUGAGGAAGCAUCUUCAGGAGAAGCAGGGUCUGAAGAUGAUGAAGCCGUGCAAUGAUUAGGGAAGUGUUAGGUACUGGGCUACGGCCAGCCAUGCAGGAAGAUGGAGGAGACGUGACCUACAAAAGCCCUGAAGAUACUGGACCACAGCGAGCCGUGCAGGAAGGUGGAGGAGACAUGAUCUACAAAAGCCCUGAAGAUGGCAUCGUAUGACUGAAACUCCAGGGUUCUUGUACCAGCUUCCCUAGUUCAAUCAUUACUCUGAAAAUGGAAUUCAGACUUGCUGCAGUUUUAUAUUCCAGAGGUAGAAGGCAUUGAACAGGUUAUGGAUGAUGAAUCAGAUGAAAAGGAAGCAAACUCACCUUAAAAUAAUCUGGAUUUGCUUUGGGCACAAGAGCCAGACUUGUUGAUUAUAUGUCAAGCUUUUAUUAUUAAUAUGCUGAAGAACUUGAGGAUUAAUAAAAUAUGCCCUUUCUUCAGAGAAUGAU